UACGUAGGGGGCAAGCGUUGUCCGGAUUUACUGGGCGUAAAGCGCGCGUAGGCGGAGCGGCAAGUCCGGUCUGAAAGCCCCCGGCUCAACCGGGGAGGGUGGCUGGAAACUGCCGUUCUUGAGUCCGGGAGAGGUGAGUGGAACUGCGAGUGUAGAGGUGAAAUUCGUAGAUAUUCGCAAGAACACCAGUGGCGAAGGCAGGUCUCUGGGCCAUAACUGACGCUGAGAAGCGAAAGCAUGGGGAGCGAACAGG
rnacentral:rRNA from 1 species